GCCAGACUCCUACGGGAGGCAGCAGUGGGGGAUAUUGGACAAUGGGGGAAACCCUGAUCCAGCGACGCCGCGUGAGUGAAGAAGUAUUUCGGUAUGUAAAGCUCUGUCAGCAGGGAAGAAAGAAAUGACGGUACCUGACCAAGAAGCCCCGGCUAACUACGUGCCAGCAGCCGCGGUAAUACGUAGGGAGCAAGCGUUGUCCGGAAUUACUGGGCGUAAAGGGCGCGUAGGUGGGCGCUUAAGUCAGGUGUGAAAACUCCGGGCUCAACCUGGAGACUGCACUUGAAACUGGGUGUCUUGAGGGCAGGAGAGGAAAGUGGAAUUCCUAGUGUAGCGGUGAAAUGCGUAGAUAUUAGGAGGAACACCAGUGGCGAAGGCGGCUUACUGGACUGUAACUGACGUUGAGGCUCGAAAGCGUGGGGAGCAAACAGGAUUAGAUACCCUGGUACGA
rnacentral:rRNA from 1 species